ensembl:lncRNA
AGCCAUGCUGUCUCCCAUGUAUACAGACAGCUCAGUCAUCAUGGAGAGAGCGCCGCCCUUGCAGAAGGGAGGGAGAGUGCAACCUCAGGGCCACAAACUGCGCUCUCAUCCUCCCACCAGUGGGAGCAGUGUUUGUGCCAACCCGACCUACUAUCAUACUGUGUAUGACAUGAGUGAUGCAGCAUGCCAUGACUACAGCAAAGCCAAUGGAGGGGAAACCGUAGUGAUAGAUGGGACACUUUACUCUUUGAUGCCCAGUGACUCUCUGGUUCCUCCUGUCAGAAGGAGAGGAGGCCUAGUUGACCACCGUGAUGUCAUCAAAGCACACCAAUCCCAUAAAUUGCAGAGCACUCCACAGGCCCGACGAAAACAAUGGGACAGGACAAUGCUCGGUCAGGUCAAUCAAGGUGUGGUCUGUGAUCAAGUCUCAUCAAAUUUCUACAAUUCUCCCACUAUGAUCGCCAUCGCUGUACAUGAAGACGAUAUUGAUACACAUCUUCUUCCAGGCAGAUUCGUAACAUCCUGUUAAUUAUUGAUGUCUUUUAUUGUCUAAUUAUUGUCCUGAUGGCGAAAAUAGGAUGGCAUAUUUGAGAAAAUCAUUUACUAAUAAAUGAGAUCCACCCCCUCCCCCAACAGUUUUGCAAUGGAAAGUUAGAUUUUUGUGAAUUAAAUCACAUUUUAAUGUAUUUAUUUAUUUUUGAAUGAAAGAGGACAAACAAAGCAUACUUAUUUGCACAGUUACUCUGCUCAUAUUUACUAUGGACGGGGUAAUAAUUCUAAUAAUAUAUUUAUUUAUUUAUUUUUUAUUAUCUAUAUUUCUUUUUUGGGGGAGCAAUCCCAUUAAGGCUUCUACAUUGCUCUUAAUUUUGAUAUUUUCUAUUUUUGAAUCACAAGCACCAUUUGGUUAUUUUUUCACCUUUUUUAUUCCUCUUUAGUUACAGACCAUUAAUUAAUCAAAAACAGAAGCUCUCAGGUUUGUGUCUGAUGAAAAGCAGCCGUGUUUAUGUACAGUAUAGUAUUCCCAGCAGUCACCAUGUCACCAGCGUUCUGUUCUGACUAGCGUCACUGUUAAGUGCUCCAGCCUGUCUGAGUAGCCAUGCAUCACAUCGCUCACAUGUCUUCUCAGGGUCACUCUCCCCGAUUGGCUGGCUGCCAGUUUCAGCUCUGCUCUUUUCUCAAUGAAACGUUCAGUGAGUGUGAUUUACGCUGUCCUAACGGCAGUGGAAAUGAGAUGCAGCAGGGUGCAGAUGGCAAAUGCACACAAAAACAAAAAAGGAUAUCAAAGCAUAGGAUCAAAGCAAAUGUUAAAGGUAUGGUUCACCCAAAAAUGAAAAAUCUGUUAUCAUUUGCUCUCUCAUGUCAUUCCAAAGCCGUAUGAUUUCCUUUCUUUGGUGGGACACAUAGAAUAGGGGAGUCAGUAGUAUAGUAGUAUGCUAUAGUGCAAUUUAUUAUGAAAGGCAUAAUAGCUGUUUUAUGUUUGUGUUAAGCAAAGAGAUUUAACUAUUUCUUUCAUAAGUCUUUUUGUCUCCUGCACGAGACAAACACAUGCUCAUCAGCAAAAAUCCUUUAAGCGCACACCAUGAACACAUACUUUUUAAAUCUCUCUUACCCAUUAAGAAAAUGGUAUGCAAACAGAAGACUGGACUUAAUACAGUGUUUUGCUAAACACAUCCUUCUGCAUUACAUGCUCACUCAAGCUCUCACAGUUUGGGGUUUAUUUGCUGCAGCCUGUAGUAAAAUGAGGAUGCUCUUUUUUUGUUUUAUCCGCACCUGCUUAAUGUUCUUGCUUUUUCUGAACAAGGACACUGAAAAUGGGUCAUAUCUUAUUAUUAAUCCUUUCUCUAUCAUGCAAAUUUUAUUUAUCUAUUUUUGUUCUUUCUUUCUUUAUCUAUAUAUUAAUACACUG